rnacentral:rRNA from 1 species
UACGUAGGCAGCGAGCGUUGUUCGGAAUUACUGGGCGUAAAGGGCUCGUAGCCGGCCAACUAAGUCAGACGUGAAAUCCCUCGGCUUAACCGGGGAACUGCGUCUGAUACUGGAUGGCUUGAGAUUGGGAGAGGGAUGCGGAAUUCCAGGUGUAGCGGUGAAAUGCGUAGAUAUCUGGAGGAACACCGGUGGCGAAGGCGGCAUCCUGGACCAACACUGACGCUGAGGAGCGAAAGCCAGGGGAGCAAACGGG